rnacentral:rRNA from 1 species
CCUACGGGGGGCAGCAGUGGGGAAUAUUGGACAAUGGGGGCAACCCUGAUCCAGCCAUGCCGCGUGUGUGAAGAAGGCCCUCGGGUUGUAAAGCACUUUCAGUGAGGAAGAACGCCUGGUGGUUAAUACCCAUCAGGAAAGACAUCACUCACAGAAGAAGCACCGGCUAACUCCGUGCCAGCAGCCGCGGUAAUACGGAGGGUGCGAGCGUUAAUCGGAAUUACUGGGCGUAAAGCGGGCGUAGGUGGCUUGAUAAGCCGGUUGUGAAAGCCCCGGGCUCAACCUGGGAACGGCAUCCGGAACUGUCAAGCUAGAGUGCAGGAGAGGAAGGUAGAAUUCCCGGUGUAGCGGUGAAAUGCGUAGAGAUCGGGAGGAAUACCAGUGGCGAAGGCGGCCUUCUGGACUGACACUGACACUGAGGUGCGAAAGCGUGGGUAGCAAACAGGAUUAGAUACCAGGGUAGUC